rnacentral:rRNA from 1 species
CGGUACCUACGGGGGGCAGCAGUGGGGAAUCUUGGGCAAUGGGCGCAAGCCUGACCCAGCAACGCCGCGUGAAGGAAGAAGGCCCUCGGGUUGUAAACUUCUUUUAUUCGGGACGAAACAAAUGACGGUACCGAAUGAAUAAGCCACGGCUAACUACGUGCCAGCAGCCGCGGUAAUACGUAGGUGGCAAGCGUUAUCCGGAUUUACUGGGUGUAAAGGUCGUGUAGGCGGGA